rnacentral:misc_RNA from 1 species
UUUUUUCCAUUCCCAUUUCUAUCUGCGAAUCUUCGCAGGAACCAUCCUUCCUCUCUCUUCUCCUUUCUUCUCCCUUUACUUCUCCUUAUGAGACUCUGUUUUUAGGACCUUAAUAUCUAACCAUCUACUUUCUCUGUACACCUCCUCACAUCAACACUUCAAGUUAGAAACUGGUAUUAUCUGUUUCCUGCCAAUUUCUGUAAGCAGCUAAGUAUCAUUAUCCUUCAACACUUCUUCGUCUUUCAAUGAGUAAUCUCAAGCUAGGAGUGGAGGU